UUAAACCAAUAAUAUUAUGUUCUUAAUUUAUAAAAUGUUUUAGUAACUCACUAAAUUAUAAUUCCAUAUACUCUCUAAACAGAAAUAUGUGAAAUAAGUAAAUAUUCAAUAAUUCGGAAUGCCAAUCGAACCGCUUUUUGAAAUUAGUGGUUUCGUUUCCACUUGGAAUUAGUGAAUAUCCACUUAUUUUCACUAAUUCAUAUUUAGAGAGUAAUUCAUGGUGAAAAUAUUAAAAUAUUUGAUGUUACGGUACAAUAUAAAAUGUUAUCUUGUGGUAUGAUUGAUGUGAAUGAUACAUUGUAUUUGUAAAAAAGUUUAUUAUCAGCUGGUAAGAAUCUUUUAAGAUUAUUUCGUGACAAUAUACGAAAAGACAGCUCGAAAUAAAACCAGAAAAAUGUCGAAAAUAAUUUUAUUAUUAUCAAUUUUCGUAUUGGUUGUUAUCUAUCCUGGUGUAUAUGCAUCAUGUCCUGGCGGUUGGUGCAAUCCAGCACAAGGUUAUUAUUGUUGUGAAGGAAAUGUUUGCUCUGAGUAUUUGUCCGAAGGUACAUGCGUGGAUGAGUCCGAAUGGGUUGAGAUGCACCCUCCAGGAAAAUGAUCAUAACAAUCCAGUGAAGAUUUAUGAAUGUACACGGAAAAAAAAAUCUGAGCGUCGGUUGGCCUUGGUCAGGAAUCAAAAUCAAGAUUUAAAUAAGUUUUGACUCAUGUAAUAAACAAUAAACUAAGAAAUAUCCCGCAAAAAUAUUAAAAACUACGUUUUUUCGAUUGUUUUGUUGAUAAUAUGAUUUAAACUAUAAAACAAGUUUGACGACAUUAUAUGAUUCCGAGAAACCAUAAAAAGGAUGAGUUGGUAUGAUUUCAAACACAUUUUAGUACGUUAUAUUAUGAUUUAUUCGGAAAAAAUACCAUAAAAUGUUGUUGUUUAACUUUUCAACCCUGAUAUCGUUUGUUUUUUACCAUUUCUUUCUCUAACAAUAUGUUUUUCUCUGUGUAU